UGGUGGGUUGCCUUGUCAGGUUGAUUCCGGUAACGAACGAGACCUCAGCCUGCUAAAUAGUCAUUACCGCCUCGGCGGUUGGCCGACUUCUUAGAGGGACUAUUGACGUUUCAGUCAAUGGAAGUAUGAGGCAAUAACA
rnacentral:rRNA from 1 species